UACGAAGGGGGCUAGCGUUGUUCGGAAUCACUGGGCGUGAAGGGCGCGUAGGCGGCUUUAUAAGUCGGGGGUGAAAGCCUGUGGCUCAACCACAGAAUUGCCUUCGAUACUGUAGAGCUUGAGACCGGAAGAGGUAAGUGGAACUGCGAGUGUAGAGGUGAAAUUCGUAGAUAUUCGCAAGAACACCAGUGGCGAAGGCGGCUUACUGGUCCGGUUCUGACGCUGAGGCGCGAAAGCGUGGGGAGCAAACAGG
rnacentral:rRNA from 1 species